UAAAGUGGCGAACGGCUGAGUAACACGUGGGCAACCUGCCCUUUGCACUGGGAUAGCCUCGGGAAACCGAGGUUAAUACCGGAUACUCCAUAUUUGUCGCAUGGCGAAUAUGGGAAAGCUCCGGCGGCAAAGGAUGGGCCCGCGGCCUGUUAGCUAGUUGGUGGGGUAGUGGCCUACCAAGGCAAUGAUGGGUAGCCGGGUUGAGAGACCGACCGCCAGAUUGGGACUGAGACACGGCCCAGACUCCUACGGGAGGCAGCAGCC
rnacentral:rRNA from 1 species